rnacentral:rRNA from 1 species
AUUGAACGCUGGCGGCAUGCCUUACACAUGCAAGUCGAACGGUAACAGGUCUUCGGAUGCUGACGAGUGGCGAACGGGUGAGUAAUACAUCGGAACGUGCCUAGUAGUGGGGGAUAACUACUCGAAAGAGUGGCUAAUACCGCAUGAGAUCUACGGAUGAAGGCAGGGGAUCGCAAGACCUUGUGCUACUAGAGCGGCCGAUGGCAGAUUAGGUAGUUGGUGGGAUAAAAGCUUACCAAGCCGACGAUCUGUAGCUGGUCUGAGAGGACGAUCAGCCACACUGGGACUGAGACACGGCCCAGACUCCUACGGGAGGCAGCAGUGGGGAGUUUUGGACAAUGGGCGAAAGCCUGAUCCAGCAAUGCCGCGUGCAGGAUGAAGGCCUUCGGGUUGUAAACUGCUUUUGUACGGAACGAAAAGCCCCGGGUUAAUACCCUGGGGUCAUGACGGUACCGUAAGAAUAAGCACCGGCUAACUUCGUGCCAGCAGCCGCGGUAA